AUUCAAAAUUAGUGUCUAUGUGUCUUUUUUCCCCUGGUGGAUUGUGAACUCCUCAAGGAAAGGGGCCAUGUUUUAUCUGUCCCUGAAUUCCUUGCAUGUAGCACAGGCCUGCCCCGUGGUGAGCAGGUAACAAAUCUGAAGAGAGGUGAGAGUGCUAGCUUAAGUGCUGGUUCCUCAGGCACACACUGUGUCAACUGCUCUUGUUUUAACUGACCAGGGUUGAACUUUGGCAACAUCUUUAGCAAGAAAGGAAAGGAGCGGUGUAAUGUGCUACUGCAUAGGGAAGAGCUCAAGCUUCAGUUGCCUGCCUCAUGGCUGUUCUGAGCUAUCAGGAUGCACCUAGAAGAACCACAGGAGCAUGGACGAACCCUUGAGAAAGAAGCUCAAGUCAAUCAAACAUCAUUAGAACUCGCCUAUAUGUCAAACACCUGUCCACGCCUUUAAACUCCAGAGAAGAUAUAUCCAAGCUUUCUGAACACACACAGUGCUCCUCCUUUCAGAUGCCCUGCUUCUCUCAGAAUGGAUACUGACCAGCAUCUUCAGAUAAUUCCUCCACACAGGUCUCUCCCAUCAAUUCUCAUUGCAGUUUAGUGGGAAGCAAUAUAUGGCAGAACACACUUUAUAAUUCUGCAGCAUGCCCUUCCUGCAAGGUUUCACAUAACACUUCAG
rnacentral:lncRNA from 1 species